rnacentral:rRNA from 1 species
GACGAACGCUGGCGGCGUGCUUAACACAUGCAAGUCGAACGGAAAGGCCCCUUUGGGGGUCCUCGAGUGGCGAACGGGUGAGUAACACGUGAGUAACCUGCCCUUGACUUCGGGAUAACUUCAGGAAACUGGGGCUAAUACCGGAUAGGAAUCCUUGCUGCAUGGUGGGGGUUGGAAAGCUUCGGCGGUUUUGGAUGGACUCACGGCUUAUCAGCUUGUUGGUGGGGUAGUGGCUUACCAAGGCUUUGACGGGUAGCCGGCCUGAGAGGGCGACCGGCCACAUUGGGACUGAGAUACGGCCCAGACUCCUACGGGAGGCAGCAGUGGGGAAUAUUGCACAAUGGGCGGAAGCCUGAUGCAGCAACGCCGCGGGCGGGAUGACGGCCUUCGGGUUGGAAACCGCUUUCAGCAGGGGCGAAGCUUGUGGUGACGGUACCUGCAGAAGAAGCACCGGCUAACUACGUG